rnacentral:rRNA from 1 species
GAUGAACGCUGGCGGCGUGCCUAAUACAUGCAAGUCGAGCGAACAGACGAGGAGCUUGCUCCUCUGACGUUAGCGGCGGGCGGGUGAGUAACACGUGGAUAACCUACCUAUAAGACUGGGAUAACUUCGGGAAACCGGAGCUAAUACCGGAUAAUAUAUUGAACCGCAUGGUUCAAUAGUGAAAGACGGUUUUGCUGUCACUUAUAGAUGGAUCCGCGCCGCAUUAGCUAGUUGGUAAGGUAACGGCUUACCAAGGCAACGAUGCGUAGCCGAUCUGAGAGGGUGAUCGGCCACACUGGAACUGAGACACGGUCCAGACUCCUACGGGAGGCAGCAGUAGGGAAUCUUCCGCAAUGGGCGAAAGCCUGACGGAGCAACGCCGCGUGAGUGAUGAAGGUCUUCGGAUCGUAAAACUCUGUUAUUAGGGAAGAACAAAUGUGUAAGUAACUAUGCACGUCUUGACGGUACCUAAUCAGAAAGCCACGGCUAACUACGUG